GACGAACGCUGGCGGCGUGCUUAACACAUGCAAGUCGAACGGAAAGGCCCUGCUUUUGUGGGGUGCUCGAGUGGCGAACGGGUGAGUAACACGUGAGUAACCUGCCCUGGACUUUGGGAUAACUUCAGGAAACUGGGGCUAAUACCGGAUAGGAGCUCCUGCUGCAUGGUGGGGGUUGGAAAGUUUCGGCGGUUGGGGAUGGACUCGCGGCUUAUCAGCUUGUUGGUGGGGUAGUGGCUUACCAAGGCUUUGACGGGUAGCCGGCCUGAGAGGGUGACCGGCCACAUUGGGACUGAGAUACGGCCCAGACUCCUACGGGAGGCAGCAGUGGGGAAUAUUGCACAAUGGGCGGAAGCCUGAUGCAGCACCGCCGCGUGCGGGAUGACGGCCUUCGGGUUGUAAACCGCUUUCGCCUGUGACGAAGCGUGAGUGACGGUAAUGGGUAAAGAAGCACCGGCUAACUACGUG
rnacentral:rRNA from 1 species